GAGGCGCGGUCCGCCAGCGCAGGGAGCGCGGCGCCGGGCGAGUGCGCUGUGCUUUGCCGGGCGGCGCGCUCGCGCACUUUCCUGCGCCCCGGGCGGCCGGAGGCUUGCUGCAGGUAACCGACGCGUCCAGCCCUCCCGGUCCCGGCAGCCAGGACCGCCGGCUAGGGCGCCCGGUGGCGGCCGGAGGGGUGGGAAGGAUGCGAGGGAGGGGGCCGGAUCUCAGCCAAGGUCCCGCUGCCCCGCGCGGACUGGGCUCCGCGGGAGCCGAGGAAGCGGAGCCGGGGCCGGAGGGAGCGCGGCGCGCGUGUGCGCUCUCGGACCCUUCCCUGGGCCUUGCGACUCGUGCGACCCGUGGAGCCCGAAGCCAGGACUCCGGUGCCCUGUGUCACCUGGAAGCCACUUUUUUCUGGCUUCUUUCCGCCGGGGCCGGGGGGCGAGUCGGAGCGGAGACCCCGGAGGAGCUGGCUGCGGGCGUGGAUCGGCUGAAGAGCGGGCACUUAGUCACUCGCCGCCGUCCCUGGGGCGCCAGCCCCUGGAACUUCAUUUAAUCCUGCCCGUAGCCUGCGCAGGGGCAUGAUGAACCCCACUGUACUGAUGAAGAAGCGGACACGCCGGGAUGAGAACGGACUCGCCCUGGGGCAGGCCACUGGAAAGGGACACGGAAGCCCCCGCUUGCCCCUCUCCCGCGCCCUCUCUGUCCUUUCCCCGCGGGGUAGGAAGCUCGCGCGGCUGGGUCUGUUAGGAAACAGCGCUUUCUGCCGAUGCAGAGCGAGUUGCCAGGCACCCUCGCGGGCCACGCACUGCUUUCUCACGGUGGAUGAGGUCGCCUGCAGACCCGGGCUGGGCCUUAUGGGCUGCCCAGGUGUAGAAUUCCAUGGAGCAGAGUGUGGAGCGAUCUGGGAAGUGGCUGAGCUUUCUCUCUGGAGCAAAACAUGAAGAUGAAGUGGAAGAAAAAAUGUGGCAGAGAAGGAAAAGGUGCUAGAGCCCCAGCACCACUACAAAGGGAGAAAUGGGGCUCUGGGUGGGGGUUGUGUGGAGGAGGCAAGAGGCUGCCUAUUGCAAUGGAAUGCCAUUUAGUGCGGAAGAGAGCUGUGUUUGAAUUUCUAUCCUAUCAAAUACUGGUUUUGUAUUCUUCUAGUUGUUGUUAUUUGAAAUUCUUUUUUUUUUUUUUUUUUUAGUAAUCUCUACACCCAGCUUGGGGCUUGAACUCACCACCCUGAGAUCAAGAGUCACAUGGUCUUCUGACUGAGCCAGCCAGGUGCCUCUGGUUUUGUGUUUUAGAGUGAAUCUCCCAGAAUCGGUGAGCAAAAUCCCUAACUGCCAAUUUGGUCCAGAAAAAACAGUAUAAAAUGUGCUAACUGCCAUUGUCAUUCACAUCUGGCUGACAGGUGGAUUUUACUAACAAUGCACCUUCAUGGUAGCUUUCUAUUUCAGUUAUUCUUACUAAAUAUAUGUUCUGUUCUGUUGUUUCCCUGCUGCUGAAGCAGUGUGUGUAAUGUCAAGAAGCAUAAGGACAAGUAUUUUAGUCACACAAUUGAAGAGACCAUUAUUUAAAGAUUUCAUCUUCUAAUUCUGGUUGCUCAGACGAUGAUGCCUAUAGCCACUCUUCUUGUAUGACUUCCUUUCCUGAUACUCAGUUUCUUGCUCUGCAUAUUGGAG
rnacentral:lncRNA from 12 species